rnacentral:rRNA from 1 species
UGGGGAAUAUUGGACAAUGGGCGAAAGCCUGAUCCAGCGACGCCGCGUGGGUGAUGAAGGCCUUCGGGUUGUAAAGCCCUGUGGGAGGGGAAGAAAACGGCGGGUUCUAAUAGGUCUCGCCCUUGACGGUACCUUCUCAGAAAGCACCGGCUAACUCUGUGCCAGCAGCCGCGGUAAGACAGAGGGUGCAAACGUUGCUCGGAAUUACUGGGCGUAAAGCGCGUGUAGGCGGACCGGCGUGUCGGAUGUGAAAUCCCUGGGCUCAACCCAGGAACUGCAUUCGAAACUGCCGGUCUAGAGUGGUGGAGAGGGAAGUGGAAUUCCUGGUGUAGAGGUGAAAUUCGUAGAUAUCAGGAGGAACACCAGUGGCGAAGGCGGCUUCCUGGACACCAACUGACGCUGAGACGCGAAAGCGUGGGGAGCAAACAG